UCGAGCGAACAGAUAAGGAGCUUGCUCCUUUGAAGUUAGCGGCGGACGGGUGAGUAACACGUGGGUAACCUACCUAUAAGACUGGGAUAACUUCGGGAAACCGGAGCUAAUACCGGAUAACAUUUAGAACCGCAUGGUUCUAAAGUGAAAGAUGGCUUUGCUAUCACUUAUAGAUGGACCCGCGCCGUAUUAGCUAGUUGGUAAGGUAACGGCUUACCAAGGCGACGAUACGUAGCCGACCUGAGAGGGUGAUCGGCCACACUGGAACUGAGACACGGUCCAGACUCCUACGGGAGGCAGCAGUAGGGAAUCUUCCGCAAUGGGCGAAAGCCUGACGGAGCAACGCCGCGUGAGUGAUGAAGGGUUUCGGCUCGUAAAACUCUGUUAUUAGGGAAGAACAAAUGUGUAAGUAACUGUGCACAUCUUGACGGUACCUAAUCAGAAAGCCACGGCUAACUACGUGCCAGCAGCCGCGGUAAUACGUAGGUGGCAAGCGUUAUCCGGAAUUAUUGGGCGUAAAGCGCGCGUA
rnacentral:rRNA from 1 species